ensembl:lncRNA
GCUCUUUCCCGGGAAGGAUGAAAUCUGACCCCUAGGCUUUAAAUGUACAUGUUAACUUUCCCAGAUACUGCUUUAGAUAGCAGGACAUGUAGCAUAGUUGUCUACCUCUUCUUCUGAAGGUGGAACAUAAAAUAAACAGAAGUAGAAAAGUCAAGGAGAAAGAGUUAGCAGACAGGCAGCUGACUUAGCGUGCCAGGAAAGAUAUUUCCUUGCAAGUAACUUGGUUUCAACUCCUUAAUUUCUUAUUCAGCUAAUUCUGAAUGGAAACCAAACAAGCCUUUGCUGAGGCAAGAAUUAAGUCUCGUUAAACCAGACUAGUCUUUGUUUGAACCAGGUUGCAACCAGCAAAGGAAUCAUCAAUUCAGACGAUCAAUAUAUGCAACUGUGAAAAGUAACCGCUCAUGUUUAGUCUUUGCAGAGCCCAAGACACUCUACAUCUUCAACUAGGAUAACACAGGACUGCCAGAGGCAGGACACAGAGCAGAGAAAUGCUUGAGGUUUAACACAUUAUGCUUGACACUCUGGCAUCAAGUAAGAUGACUCAACAUUUUAAGGAAUGACUCAACCUGGAAAAGCACAAGAACCACUGAUAUGUCAAGACAUUAUUUCAAGCUCAACUUAAGCAACACAACCUGUCAAAACUGUUCAAAUUAAAUUUGCCACUCUGCAACUAAUCAUUCAUGCUUAGAUUUAGUACUGUUUACAGUUGUAUUGCUUACAGAACUUGUGGCUUCUGCACACAGGAUGGUAAUCUAGAUUGCUGACUAGCAAAAUAAAGGUGAUAGUGAAGUGGUUAGUAGGUUAGGUUCAGUAAAUUGUCUUCAGGUAAGUAUAGAGGUUGCAGAAAUGUUUCCAUUUGUAUUUCAGCGUAGUUUGCAUUCCAGUUCACUACACAAAAUAAUUUUUAGAAGCUAGUUAUUUCCAAGCCAAGACCAAACACAGUAGGUUCUGUUUUUACUGACUCUAUCAGUAUUGUUUGGAAUCUUUUAACCCUCCUUUUUCAUGCCAGUGACAAUAACAAAAGUAAUGCCCUUUAAUGUCCAUAGCUACACAAUUUCAGUAUGUCUCAAAUUCCAAAGAUCUGUAGAUUCAAUAACAUUUAUAAUACCAUAAGCUUAGAGUCAAAGAAUGGUUUGAGUUGGAAGGGACCCUUAAAGGCCAUCUGUCCCACUCCCUGUACUGAACAGGGACACCCACAGCUCCAUCAGUGCUCAGAGCCCUGUCCAGUCUGACCUUGGCAGUCUGCAGGGACGGGGCACCCACCAUCUCUCUGUACUGGGGACUCCACAUCUGGAUGCAGCACUCCAGGUGAGGUCUCACAGCACAGAGCAGAGGGUCAGGAUCCACUCCCUUACCCUGCUGGCUACGUUGCUUUGGGUGCAGCCAAGAACAUCGUUGGCUUUCUGGGCUGCGAGAGCCCAGAACUAAUUACCGAAUUACUGAUAAAUUGAUAACUGAGAGUUAUUAAACUCUCAGUCUCCAAAAUAGUUUGGUUGCAUAUAAACUGUUUAUUUUGAACGGUUCUGUUAACUCUCAAAACCCACUCAAGAAUUGUUCUGGAACUAGAAAACAUUGCAAGGAGCCUUUGAAUGAUUCAGCAGCAUGGAUGGUAUGGUUCAGGAGCCUAUGCUUAUGCCAUUCUCCUUGGAGGCAUUCAAGGCCAGGCUGGAUGUGGCUCUGGGCAGCCUGGUGGGGUGGUUGGCGACCCUGCACAUAGCAGGGGGUUGAAACUAGAGAAUAAUUGUGGUCCUUUUCAACCCAGGUCAUGCUGUGAUUCUAUGAUUCUCCUGCCUAAUUUACUCAUGAAAGUUGUACUGGAGUGGAAGCUCAGUAUGAGGGAAUACCAUCAGGCAACACCAUGUCUGUGAUAUAUCUGUUGGAGUUCCAGAUGUGGAAAGGCUGAUAAACCCACUGGAUACUGUCUACUACCUUAGGGAAGUAAGGAAAAAGAAAAAGGGACUCCAAUAUAAGGGUUCUGCCAUCUUUAAUAGUAGAAAAAUGCCCUAGAGAAGAGCUCCUAAAUAGGUGGGAGAAAAUAUUUUACCAUCAGAGAUUUGAAGAUCUCUGAAAAUGAAGACACAACAGCAAUAGAUUUUCAAGGAGAAACUACCUUGAAGUAACAGAGUGUUUAAUUUAUCAAAUAAGAACAUAAUAAAAACCUAUGGCUGAAAGGUGGAAGGAGAGACAUUCAAAUGAAGAAUCAGGUAUAGGCAACUUCCUGAAGAAGCACUGAUCAAGACAUUUGCCACCAAACCAAAGCCAGAAUAGAAUGUUAAUGUUCUCUGAGAAUGAUUGGAUUAGAAAACCUAACACAUCUUCAUGCCAUGAGGAUCUGCAAAGUCUUCUCUCUUAUUCCAGUGGCAUAAAGUAUGAACAUGGUCCCUCAGCAACUUUGGUGAGAUAGAAGGGGUAAAGCAAAGGCAGGAAGGAUUCAGGAAAAGAAGCAGAGUGAAAAUUUAGGAUGACAGGAAAAAAGGCUUCAUUUGAGAGAUCAGAAUCCCCCUUUCUUUCCCAUGACUGCUUCCUUGUACUCUCCUUGGCAAAACACUUAGAAGAGGUAAUGCUGAUCCUUCUUAGUAAACUAAAUAGCUCCAGAACGUAUUCACAAGCACUGAAAUCUGAUAAUCUAUAAUAUUAAACUGUGCAAAUAGGAGGAAUUUGGCUUUGGGUAUCUAGCCAUCACCCAAACCGUUAGCAAAUCUGGAAAAUUCAAGGACCCAUGCAUCCUCCUUGCUUGUGGAGUUAAGGGAGUUCAAUACUGUGGACAUGGGUCAUUCUAUGCCACCUAGUCUCAGUGCCAGAGAAUUAGUUUAAGCAUGUUUAAUUUACUAGUACAGACACAAUUCUUGUUUCCUGAAGCUGUGGUAAUUACCCAAGGAGAUAUAAGCCGGUUUGAUUUAACUUACUGUAUACUUAAUAGUUUUUUGGAAAAGAUAAAGGAUUGAAGAUAAAAGUCUGGGACUUUGCUCAUGCUUGACAUUCUUCUCAGAACUCUGAAGAUAUGUACUAGACUACAAUUUUUGUUUGAAAGUCAUCUGAACAGUUUUGCAAGGUUUCAUCAUCUUGUAUUGUCUGACUGUUGGAAUACACCCACUGAAGUACGAAUCUCCCACAUUUUUUACCUGGAAAAAAUUCUGCACAACCAUUGUAGGGCCUUUUUCCCAAGGCGGCAAAAUCUUAAGCCCAGGAAAGGAAAGCAAGAUUCAUUUCCUUCAAGUGAGGAGCUCUCUGACUUCGAGCUAUCCUUAUGUGUGCUCAUCCAUGUGAGAAGAAGAGGUGAUCUACAGGGACUAUUCAAGUGAGAUUGCCCACAGUUCAUGAUGAAGGAAAUCGGUCCAUAUACUUUCUGAAUCCAACAUAUGAAGAUCAUUGCUGUUCAAACUUGGCCCUGACCUUGAGAUACGAGACCUUCCUGUGGGUUGCUGAAGGAGACCCAUAUCGAUGGCAGGAGCUGUAGAGCAUGUUGUCUUGCAGGUAGUACUCCAUAACAUGGCUCCUGGAACAUAUUCACCAAAUGUCUCUACAUCCAUAAAGGACAGCACGGAUGGAAACAUCAGGAGAUAAUGCAAAGAAGGAAACAAAAAAAAA